AACGCACAUUGCGCCUCUCGGUAUUCCGGGAGGCACGCCUGUUCGAGCGCCAUUACACACUCCAAGCACCGCUUGAUGUUGGGCGAGGUGGUCCCCUAUCUUGGGGGCUACCCGCCUGGAACGCGUGGGCGCCAGCCGCCGGACCACGAGCGUAGCAAGACGACAAGUCAAUUCGCUGUGUGGGCUCCGACGGAGGGCCGCCGAGCCUCUCUCCCCACGGGGAGGGGGCACCCCAAUUUUCACGAGUUUGGCCUCGGAUCAGGCGGGGAUACCCGCUGAACUUAA
rnacentral:misc_RNA from 1 species